GAGAGGAUGCUCAUAUCCCAGGAGAGUUCUUGGAACGGAUCACCAAGUGAGGGUUCUGGCUUCGCACAAGAAAGAAUUCAAGAACUGACCUCUAAAGACUCAUGUUGCCUGAGAAAGAAGCUCAGAAGAGGAAGAGAAGGAAAGAAAGAAGAGUUGGGAAUGGCUGUUUCUCGGAUAUGUCUCAUAUACAUAUGAUCAAGAAACUACAACCCAAAGCAAAC